rnacentral:rRNA from 1 species
UACGAAGGGGGCUAGCGUUGCUCGGAAUUACUGGGCGUAAAGCGCACGUAGGCGGCUUUGCAAGUUAGAGGUGAAAGCCCGGGGCUCAACUCCGGAAUUGCCUUUAAAACUGCAUCGCUAGAAUUGUGGAGAGGUAAGUGGAAUUCCGAGUGUAGAGGUGAAAUUCGUAGAUAUUCGGAAGAACACCAGUGGCGAAGGCGACUUACUGGACACAUAUUGACGCUGAGGUGCGAAAAGCGUGGGGAGCAAACAGG